rnacentral:rRNA from 1 species
GAUGAACGCUGGCGGCGUGCCUAAUACAUGCAAGUCGAGCGAACAGACGAGGAGCUUGCUCCUCUGACGUUAGCGGCGGACGGGUGAGUAACACGUGGAUAACCUACCUAUAAGACUGGGAUAACUUCGGGAAACCGGAGCUAAUACCGGAUAAUAUAUUGAACCGCAUGGUUCAAUAGUGAAAGACGGUUUUGCUGUCACUUAUAGAUGGAUCCGCGCCGCAUUAGCUAGUUGGUAAGGUAACGGCUUACCAAGGCAACGAUGCGUAGCCGACCUGAGAGGGUGAUCGGCCACACUGGAACUGAGACACGGUCCAGACUCCUACGGGAGGCAGCAGUAGGGAAUCUUCCGCAAUGGGCGAAAGCUUGACGGAGCAACGCCGCGUGAGUGAUGAAGGUCUUCGGAUCGUAAAACUCUGUUAUUAGGGAAGAACAAAUGUGUAAGUAACUAUGCACGUCUUGACGGUACCGAAUCAGAAAGCCACGGCGAACUACGU